GAGGGUGAAGGGGUUGCAAUAAACUGGUGGCUGCGACUGUUUAAUAAAAACACAGCACUCUGCAAACACGAAAGUGGACGUAUAGGGUGUGACGCCUGCCCGGUGCCGGAAGAUUAAAUGAUGGGGUGCAAGCUCUUGAUUGAAGUCCCGGUAAACGGCGGCCGUAACUAUAACGGUCCUAAGGUAGCGAAAUUCCUUGUCGGGUAAGUUCCGACCUGCACGAAUGGCGUAACGAUGGCCACACUGUCUCCUCCCGAGACUCAGCGAAGUUGAAGUGUUUGUGAUGAUGCAAUCUACCCGCGGCUAGACGGAAAGACCCCAUGAACCUUUACUGUAGCUUUGCAUUGGACUUUGAACCGAUCUGUGUAGGAUAGGUGGGAGGCUAUGAAACCGGAACGCUAGUUUCGGUGGAGCCGUCCUUGAAAUACCACCCUGGUUUGUUUGAGGUUCUAACCUUGGCCCGUGAUCCGGGUCGGGGACAGUGCAUGGUAGGCAGUUUGACUGGGGCGGUCUCCUCCCAAAGCGUAACGGAGGAGUACGAAGGUACGCUAGGUACGGUCGGAAAUCGUGCUGAUAGUGCAAUGGCAUAAGCGUGCUUAACUGCGAGACCGACAAGUCGAGCAGGUGCGAAAGCAGGUCAUAGUGAUCCGGUGGUUCUGUAUGGAAGGGCCAUCGCUCAACGGAUAAAAGGUACUCUGGGGAUAACAGGCUGAUACCGCCCAAGAGUUCAUAUCGACGGCGGUGUUUGGCACCUCGAUGUCGGCUCAUCUCAUCCUGGGGCUGUAGCCGGUCCCAAGGGUAUGGCUGUUCGCCAUUUAAAGAGGUACGUGAGCUGGGUUUAAAACGUCGUGAGACAGUUUGGUCCCUAUCUGCCGUGGGCGUUGGAUAUUUGAAGGGGGCUGCUCCUAGUACGAGAGGACCGGAGUGGACGAACCUCUGGUGUACCGGUUGUCACGCCAGUGGCAUCGCCGGGUAGCUAUGUUCGGAAGAGAUAACCGCUGAAAGCAUCUAAGCGGGAAACUCGCCUUAAGAUGAGAUAUCCCUGGGGACUAGAUCCCCUUGAAGGGUCGUUCGAGACCAGGACGUUGAUAGGUCAGGUGUGUAAGCGCAGUAAUGCGUUCAGCUAACUGAUACUAAUUGCCCGUAAGGCUUGAUCCU
rnacentral:rRNA from 1 species